CCUACGGGAGGCAGCAGUGAGGAAUAUUGGUCAAUGGACGAGAGUCUGAACCCGCCAAGUAGCGUGAAGGAUGACUGCCCUAUGGUUUGUAAACUUCUUUUAUAUGGGAAUAAAAUGUUCCACGUGUGGGAUUUUGUAUGUACCAUAUGACUAAGGAUCGGCUAACUACGUGCCAGCAGCCGCGGUAAUACGGAGGAUCCGAGCGUUAUCCGGAUUUAGUGGGUUUAAAGGGAGCGUAGGUGGAUUGUUAAGUCAGUUGUGAAAGUUUGCGGCUCAACCGUAAAAUUGCAGUUGAAACUGGCAGUCUUGAGUACAGUAGAGGUGGGCGGAAUUCGUGGUGUAGCGGUGAAAUGCUUAGAUAUCACGAAGAACUCCGAUUGCGAAGGCAGAUCACUGGACUGCAACUGACACUGAGGCUCGAAAGUGUGGGUAUCAAACAGGAUUAGAGACCCCGGUAGUC
rnacentral:rRNA from 1 species